UACGUAGGGUGCAAGCGUUGUCCGGAAUUAUUGGGCGUAAAGCGCGUGUAGGCGGUCCGGUAAGUCCGCUGUGAAAGUCGGGGGCUCAACCCUCGGAUGCCGGUGGAUACUGUCGGGCUUGAGUACGGAAGAGGCGAGUGGAAUUCCCGGUGUAGCGGUGAAAUGCGCAGAUAUCGGGAGGAACACCCGUAGCGAAGGCGGCACUCUGGGCCGGAACUGACGCUGAGGAGCGAAAGCGUGGGGAGCAAACAGG
rnacentral:rRNA from 1 species